UAUCAGCAAACCAUGGAGAAAGUCCCAACUUCUUGAACUACGUUUUUAAAUCAAACACUUGUAAAACUUUGCCAAAUUUGUGACAACUUGCAAAAGCAAUAUCGCUUCAGAUUUAUAAUGUGAUUUACUGAUGGUUCUCUGACCCUGCUCCAACUUACCCACCACCACAUGAGGCAGCCCGUGUCCCCUGGACCUGGGAGACGCUGACCACAUCCCUCAUGCCUACUACUAUUCUUGUCUCAAAAUUGAGGCACUGAAGACUGCCUUUGGGACUUCCUGAGGGAACCUCUAAAAUCAAUUCCCUACAAGAAAGUGUUUGAAGCUGAAGGUCAACACAAACAUAAAUUCAAGCAGGAUUCCAGUGUUCCAAGCAUCACCCACAAACGGCUCACAAAAGGAUGGACACCCCACUUCUGCUGUGCUGACCCUCCACUCUGGGAAGAGAUGUGGAAGAGGAGCGUACCAGUUGGCUGGCUGUUCAUCACACUGGACUCAAGCAAGCUUCUAGUCAACAUGGCGUGAUCCCAAUA